UACGUAGGGGGCAAGCGUUGUCCGGAUUUAUUGGGCGUAAAGAGCGUGUAGGCGGCCAUACAGGUCCGUUGUGAAAACUGGAGGCUUAACCUCCAGACGUCGAUGGAAACCGUAUGGCUAGAGUCCGGAAGAGGAGAGUGGAAUUCCUGGUGUAGCGGUGAAAUGCGCAGAUAUCAGGAAGAACACCCGUGGCGAAGGCGGCUCUCUGGGACGGUACUG
rnacentral:rRNA from 1 species